GACCGCGUAGCUCAGUUGGAAGAGCAUUGGGCUAGUAUUCCAAAGGUUGUAGGUUCGAAUCCCACUGUGGCCG
rnacentral:tRNA from 1 species